rnacentral:lncRNA from 1 species
AGAAGAAAGAUCAAGAUCAGCUUGAAUUGUUUUUAGCUUUUCCUGCAGCUGUAAUUCUCUCUCCUUUCCUUUGCUUGUAACCUCUGUACAUCUGUGCUACUUUGUAAUUUUUCUCUUCUAAUAUUAAAUUCCGGCAGGAGAUCUGCCGUCGUUCUCCUCAAAAAAAAGAUCAAGAUAGAGAGAUAUAUCAUAAGAUAAUUGCAUCCUACGACAAUGGCGCACCUGACGAACGGCGCGGUGGACUCGCUGCUGGGUGUGUUGUCGAAGGUGGUGAAGGACGAGGCGAAGCUGCUGGGAGGCGUGGAGGGCGACAUCCAGUUCAUCAGGGACGAGAUGGACAGCAUGAACGGCUUCCUCCUCCACCUCACCAAGUCCAGGACGCCGCACAACGACCAGCUCCGCGCCUGGAUGAAGCAGGUCCGCGACGUCACCUACGUCGCCGACGACUGCAUCAGCCUCUACAUGCGCGACCUCAUCCCGCCGGAGGCCGGCCUCUGGCCGUGGCUCCGCCACAUCCCCAAGCGCCUCCGCACGAUUCCGGCCCGCCACCGCCUCGCCAACAAGAUCCACAAGCUCAAGGACCGCGUGCGCGAGGUCGGCGAGAGGCGCCUGCGCUACGACGUCAAGCUCCCAGAACUACGCAAUUCGGAGGAGUCGCUGUUGCCGGUCCUCCGAGACAGCAAGGCUGAGGAGAAGAAGGACGAAUUCCUACGUGCCAUUGAAGAUGUUUCAGCUGAAUCUUUCAGAGGAGUGAUCGAUAAGCUCCCUCAUAGUCUUGGACAUGAUGCUAUUGCUCGCAAACACCUAGAGGACAUCCUGAACAAAUGCGUCGUGAUCGAGGGGGAUCAUGUGGCCAUCAUGAAGAUGCUGCUUCGUGCUCUGUAUGCCUAUCCCUACGGUACCGUAGAAGAAUUGGAAGAUUUAUCCAAGAAGCUUGAACCUAAAGGAGCAGAUGUGGCCAAAUUGGUGAUGAUUUUCUGCUACAGCAAGCUGCCCACGCACUGCAAGAGCUGCCUGCAGUACCUGGUUACCAUGGGAGAGGAAGAUAAAAUCAGCAGGGCGUGCUUGGUCAGGCGAUGGGUCGCCGAGGGCCUCGUGCCCCUCAGGGUCGUCGAGCCGCCUCUUACAACCACCAUGGAAGAAGCCGGCGAAGUCUGCUUCAAGGAGCUCGUCUUUCGAGGCUUUCUUCUUCCUGCUCCUCCUCCUCCUCAAGAUGAUGGUGUAGCUGUUGGUACAUGCAGCUUGAAUCUCAAGAGCUGCGUCGUCGAUGAAGCAGUCAAGAAAUUCAUCCCCGACAUCUCCAAGAGCGAAAAUUUUGUGGUUGACCUGCCUACCCACCUUCAGCAUCAGCUCAAAAUCAGGCAUAUGGUUCGACAGACCUUUCCUGCAACUGCAUCAGCAGAAGAGAAACAACAACCGCUGCAGCAGCAGCAGCAGCCGCUGAAUCCCAUGGAUGGGAUGGUGAAGCUCCUCAAGGAGUUACCUGAAGAGUAUCGGCUGAACGUGAUAGAUCUAGGGGGCUGCCAGAGAUUGGAGAAGAGCCACCUCAAGAGUAUCUGCAAGGUGACCUCGCUCAAGUAUCUGAGCCUCCGGAACACCGACGUUUCCAGUCUGCCCAAGAAGAUGGAGGACCUGUGGCAGCUGGAGACGCUCGACAUCCGGGACACCGAAAACAUGCCGGCCACCGCCAUGAGGCGCAUCUACCUCCACAACCUGAAGCAUCUCCUUGCCGGCGACAACAUCAGCACCGACGGCGGUGGCGAAGGCAAGAAAAAUGAGUCAGGCUCCACCGUGCUGGUACCUCACAGGAUCGGGAAGAAGACGGAGACGUUGCGCCAUGUCCGGAUUAAGGACGGCCAAGCCGACCUUGCACGGAUUGGGUCUCUAGAGCAGCUGAGGAAGUUGGGAGUCGUCCUCGACGGCAGCCAAGGUAACAUCACUCAUUUGCUUGAAGCAAUCUCCAAGCGGAGAGAUACCCUGCGCUCACUGUCAGUCUGGAUCACGGAGCCACCGCCACCGCCGGCUGCGGAGCACAUGGCCGGCGACGACGUGUUCGUGACUAUGGAAGAAAUCCUAGCUCCCAGUAAACUUGAGAGCUUAGACCUCAACCUCAAGUGCUUCUUCAAGGGAGGAAAUGGCGGCGACAAGAGAGACUACAAGCUCCCUACAUGGAUCAACGAAAAGCUCCAAGCGCUUUCCAAGAUCACUCUACGUUACACCCUACUGCGCGACGACGGUCUGCGGAUCCUCGGCAAGCUGAAGAGCUUGCGCUGCCUCAGGCUGCUUCGCAAAUCAUACAUCGAAAGCGAGGUCACCCUCGAGGAGGGGGAGUUCGGGGAGCUGAGGCUCCUCCUGCUUGAUCAUGUCUCUGAUAAGACGGCCUUGUUGAUCAAAGCCCGUGCAGCUCCCAAGCUGGAGAAGAUUGUGUGGAACUUGAACAAGACGAAGACGUUGGUGACGAUCUCCCCCGACGACAUUGCUGGGAUCAAUAACACGGCCAUACUUCGCUUCAAGGCCGCCGAUGCAGCAGCUCCUACGAAGGAGAAGGUUGACUGGAACUGCAACAGCACGAGGAAGAUCACUCCGGACAUCAUCCGGGGUUCAAUCGAAUUCAAUCAAGUCCAAGAGGGAGCUCAAGAAUUCCUCAAGUAA